rnacentral:rRNA from 1 species
GGUGGCGAUAGCGGAGGGGAAACACCCGUUCCCAUUCCGAACACGGAAGUUAAGCCCUCCAGCGCCGAUGGUACUGCAUAAGCGGGAGAGUAGGUCGCUGCCGGAA